rnacentral:hammerhead_ribozyme from 1 species
GUCACAGCUGACGAGUUCCAAAUAGGACGAAAUGCGCAUCCUGGAC